UAAUAAGUGUUUUAUGGCACUUUUUAAAUUCAUAUCCACCUUGUGUGCAAUGUCAGUCGAUCUUCUUCAUGGAGAUCGACCAAACAUCAACCUUUAUCUUUUAACUCUUUGUCUGAAAAAUAUUAUGAAUAAACAAUUCAAAAUA
rnacentral:misc_RNA from 1 species